UGUAACACAGAGUUCACAUUGUACCUCUCUGAUGGGCCACCUCAAAGUAUCUGAUGCUAUUCUACCCCUGAAAUGAAUUGUCAAAGCUGCGGGGGGGCCUAUGUGUGUGUGUCAUGGGUGGUGUGUUGGGGCAUUUGAACAUGAAGCUCAGCAGAUGGGAUGCACAUCACCCUGUACAGCUCAAAAUAAAUCCCAUCAAAGCCAUAUACUAUGAUGGAUUUCAGACAAGCCAGUAUAAAAGAAGGUGCAUGUGCUUCCAUACAGGAAUCACAGCACAAAAGAUCUGAUAAUGGAAAGAUUCUUGGAAUUAAGGAAUUGAUUUAGCCUUUGAGAGGGUGCCGAACUAAGGGCUGUGAAUUACCUGAGGAUUCUCUGUAUGUGAAGCUCCUCUCGUGCAACACAAAACACGCCUCAGUUUUCAUGAUGUAGCUUAUGAUACCUCCUCUUUUCCACCUCUGCUUCCCACAAGUGGGGGCUGACAGUUGCCCAGGUUGGAAUGCGCUGCACUUAGUAUUGGGGUGAAUGAAUGCCAAGUUAAUUUGUUCUUUAAGUCUAAUUAGGCGUUUGAACUCAUGUCUAGUGGAUUCAGAACCAAUUUCUUAACCUCAGCAGGCUGGCUUGAGUUGCAAUGUUUUUUAAACUUUUUUUUAUAAGGAACGUGACACUCAACACUUUCUAGUCUCUGAUACUUCCUAGUAAGUCUUUUUCUCUUCCAGCCUGCUAAAAAUGAGCUGCAACAGCCUCAAAAUUUUGCCUAAGUUGCUCCAGAUAUAUGAUUAGCCAAAUGUUCCCCCGGAACUUUUCCUAUCCUUGCUUCCUGGCUUUGUUUGUUUCCCCCAAAAUUGUCCUAGGAUAAAUCCUAAAUUACAUGGGUGGUCAGACCUCCAUUCUGUAAUGGGAUUUGGUAUAUACACUUUAACCCAUAGGAAAAAUCUACCUCUCUGCUUUGAAUUUUGAAUCAUCAUGCAGAACACAUUUUGAAUUCAGAAGAUGACCGAGUUUCCAUGGAGAUAUACUCAACCUAGAGUACAAUGUUUUUUCACCUAUCCACUUAUCUUAGUUGCACAGCAAAUGUGAUUUGUUUGGAGCAUUUAAAAGUCUAGUUUUUCUGCUUUUAAGCAGUCACCAAUGUUAAUAAUUAUUUUUAAAGUCCUUGCAAAGUCUGACCCGAGACAUUUCCUUUCAGGGCUUACCAGUAGCAUUAGCACAUGGAAAUCCUUCUUCCUGGAUUUUCUGAAUUUUCUUUUCUAGCUAGUAACCUGCUUAAUUACCUCCACAGGAUCAUGAAGGCUUGGAUGUCAAUUCUUCUUCUUCCCAUCUAUGCACUAUAGUUCUACUGAUCAGACCCAAUUGUCCUGUAUCUUUCAGAUGGGACUUCUGCUCUUCCUAGUUCUUCUACAUGAAGAUGUUCUACAUUACCUGUCCAAUGCAAAAACUAAAUUUUGUGAUAGCAGUAGACUGUAAAAGCAGCCUGCCAAGAGCAAGAUGAUGGUCAUGCACCCAGAGGGAAGAAAAAAAUCUGUACUGGAAUAGGCGUUUUGCUUUAUCUUUUUUCCUCUUCUCAGACUGAAAGGGAACAAAUACAGGUUUCUUCUUACUGAAUGAAAGGAAAAGAACAGAAAAAUACCUGUUGCCUACUAGGAAGCCUCAUCAACUAAGCUGCAUAAAGGUGGUUAAAUCCGUUCUCAUCAGAUAGAUUUCAAUUAGAAUAAUUGCUAUCCAUUUAAAACUCCCUUCACAGUAGCCAUUUUCUAAGCUCUGUUUGGUGCUAUGACCCAAAGGUAAAGGUUUAUAUAAUGGUUAUGUGUCCCUCAAGAAGAGCAGGGGUUUAGAAUAAACCAGCCACACAGAGAGGCCUCAUCUCCAUCCAAGAAGCGGGUCAGCAUGGUUCUGUAGCAUUCUGAUCCAGCCUGGUCUAGUGAACACGCUGCAUGAUUAAAGCCAGAGCUUGGAGUGAGAGAAUUCUUCAAGGAUAAGAAAUGGAAUUCACCAGGCUUUGAACAAAGAUAGCUUUUCAGGAAUAAGAAAUUUGGGCACCCCUAGAAAGCAUUUGUUUCUGGUAGUCCUCAUUGCCACUCCAAAGCUCUCGAUGCAUUUGUACUACUUGUACUGGUGUUUGAGGCCAGCAGUUAGCAUAGCUCAGCUGGAUUGUACAAAUCCCACCUGGUCCCCCGUGGACUGCUUAAGGCAGAAACUGCUCUGCUCUGUCAGCACAUUAGGAGCUGGUCUGUAAAAUGGCUUCUCAGCUGAGAUUUUCAUGUUCCCCAGGAGGUAAAAUAAGCACCCAUUGAAUGAUUUUGGAGAAAAUGGAGGUAGGGAGAAAGAGCUAGAAGAGAAAAGACCAAAAUGGCUAGUUGUCCUCAGCAUAAUCACCUGGGACAGACCUGUUUCACAUUCUCUCUUUACACCACAAAGAUCAAGGGCUGAAUCCUUAGUGUCCCAAAUACCUCUGUGUCCUCCUGCCCUGCUUCCAAGGCUACCAGCUAAUCUAGUGUAAAUCUGUCUCUCUCCUAGCACAGCUUUCUGCUCUCCACAGCAGCUCAGGCCCAGGGGAGUGCAAAACAGCACCCACUGAGGGAUCUGAAGGAGUAGGAAGGAAACCGCUGCUGAAAUGAUGGCUUAUUCCUAUGGAAAUGAACAAUUCUAACAGGCCAGGCAAGGUGGGAUCCACCAUAUCAGCUCUCCUGAAGACUGACUUUUCAAAGCUCUGAAAAGCUGAUAUCAAAAGUGCAAAAAUAUACAGCAGAGUUUGACUGUUGGGAAACAGCCACAGAUUCCUUCAAGCCAACGUAAAGCAACGCCUAACAGAAAGCAGUAUUGGAAAAUUCUAACUACACAAGUCAGGUUGCUACUCUGGGAACAGAAGAUGAAGUCAUGCCAGAAAAACAGGAAGGACAGGAUGUGUUUGAAAAGUCAAAAUUUCUAAAAUGUUAGGUGGAAGAGCUAUUUGAUCCUGGUUGUCUCCAUGAGGAAUAAUUUAAGUCAUUGAUAAGUGUUACAAAAAGGUAUUUGAAAUAAAAAAAAAAUACAAAAUAGGGUUUCUCCUUGAUAAAUUAAAAAAGACAAAGUCUGCCCCUUAACAGAACCAGUUCAUGCCUUACAAAACCCCUGUUUUUGUUGAGUGUAUUUAUACACCUUUCUGAAAUGUAUUACAGCAGUGUUCCCUUUGCCCUUUUCAUACCACACUGUUUACAGUACAUUGAAUAAACAUCUCCCCCUGGAAAUAAACCAAAUCUCAUCUAAUGUAUUAAGUUAAUUUAUGACUUCAAAUACAACUAGCUACAACUGACAAAAUUCUGUGGAAACACGAUGUUAAGUCUGACAGAUAUCUUGCAAGAAGUUCUUUCUAACACAACACUUUGUGUAAAUGUUUCCUUACUAGAAUGUAUUGGCUACUAAAGGACUUAGCGCUUGCUCUCUCAAAAGAAAUUAAAAUAUAUAUGUAUAUGUAAAAAUAUGUGUAUCACUAAUUACUCUUAAUACUAACCACAAAAGAACUAAAAUAAGAGAGUAGAAAGUUAGAGAUUAGCCAAAGACAGAUUAGAAACCACAUCUGAUAAUCAGAAUCUGUUUAUAGUCCCCAAGGAAGAUCUUUGAAGUGUAGUGCACAGACCUGCUCAGUGCUGCUGCAGCAAACAGCCAUGCCUACUCCUCUUAUUAUACUGUGACCAUGGGCAAAACCUGCUCCUCACUGCUGACAUUUGCCUCUGUCUCAGUGAUCAAGCCUGUGAGAAUGUGCAAGAGCGAGCAGAGUGGCAUUUCCCAUGCUUUGUGCUUUCCUGGGAGGAUGGCAGCCCUGUUGGGAAAGCCUUAAUCUGUGGAACCACAAUGUGCUCCUUUAGCUGGGAGAUGCAGCACAGUGGCAGCGACAGACAGUCCUAGCUCCCAGAUGACUUCAGAAGGAUGCCAGGAAAAGCAGCAGGCUCACUUUCAAGAUAGAAAGGAGAGGGGGUGUACUGAUAGCUUUAGGAGAACACAAACAUCUAAAAGAAGCCUCAAUCUCACCACUGCUGCGUGGACAGUGGCUCACUUAGACCCUGAGUUCUAAGUAGUGAAAGCAAUCAGUGAUUCCAGCAUAGGAUAUGGCUGUUAAAAUGGGCGCUUGGCCAAGAUCCUACCAUUAAAGAGUUCAGAAGUGUUACUCCAAAUUCAUCAUCAAUUCUUUCCUAAAUGGCCAGUGUCGGUAAUGCUAAAGAUAAUGUUUUCUAUCAACAGCUUUGCUACAUUUAAGGCCUUAACCUUAUGAGUAAAAUACCAUAACGCUGUAGGAAAAUUUCUUCACAUCAACUUGUUUUGCGUUUGGGGAGAUUUAAUUGUACCCUUGAUUCUACACAUCUGAACUAAAUGCUGUGUGAAGAGCAUAUGUUCAACACUGCCUGAUUUAAUCCAGAGUAGUGGAUAAAAUGAAAAGUGAAAACAACUUUG